rnacentral:tRNA from 1 species
GCGUGAGUAGCCGAGCGGGUCAAAGGCGCAGGAUUUAGGGUCCUGUCUCGUAGGGGUUCGCAGGUUCAAAUCCUGCCUCACGCA